GGACACGGCGUCGUUCGGGGCCACGCCUGACCUUGCUCCUCUGGUUCUGAGGCUGGCUCUAUCUUCUUGACCAUAUCGACCUGAGCAGUGCCAAUCUCGCCGCGGGCUUCCACUGCUUUGCCCUAUGCACUUUACGCCGCCCCCCGGACUGGAAAAUUGCUUCCCCGCGGACCUCCACUCCAACGGUGCCCGUAUCUCCUUUGUCCUGGCUGGAUCCGUAUAAUCUCCUUUGUCCUCCCCCUCCCCUCGUUCCCGUCUCCCUCGCGUUCCUCUCGACCGUACGCCGCCGCCUGGCUCGCACCGUCGACAGUACCUCAGUCCAGAUCGACCCUCCCUCUACCCAGAUCGGGUUCCAGUUGGCCUACCGCCCCCGCCGCCCUACUACAGGUGCCGAGGCCUUCACCGGCGAAGAGCGCCCGCCAGACAAAUGGAACUGGGUGAUAAGGCGGUCGGUUUUCUGCUGACUCUGACAAGCUUAACCUUAUUUACAUACUACACAUUCUGGGUCAUCAUUUUGCCAUUUGUCGACAGCGACCACUUUGUGCACAAGUACUUCCUGCCUCAAGAGUAUGCGAUUUUGAUACCGGUACUGGCCGGCGUGGUUCUCCUUUCGUUCUUGAGCGUGUUUGUGGGCCUUGUGAUGCUCAAAUCGAAGAAGAAGAAGACGGCUUAAUCGGGUUUGCCAUGUACACUGCUGUGUCAUUCACUUAGUGUGAUGAAAUGCAUGAGUUCGCAGUAUCUAAUUGCUAGAAGCUCGGUUCUGUAAUCAGUUCCGUCAUACUUUAAAGGUCUUUACUUUGUCAUCUGGAUGUGUGUUUUUUUUAUUCUGGUGGUCAAUUAAAAGCAGUGUUCAUCAAAACUCUAGUUAGAGGUCACAUAUCGUUAGCCAUUAUUCGGACCGAA